AUUGAACGCUGGCGGCAGGCCUAACACAUGCAAGUCGAGCGGAUGAAGGGAGCUUGCUCCUGGAUUCAGCGGCGGACGGGUGAGUAAUGCCUAGGAAUCUGCCUGGUAGUGGGGGAUAACGUCCGGAAACGGGCGCUAAUACCGCAUACGUCCUGAGGGAGAAAGUGGGGGAUCUUCGGACCCCACGCUAUCAGAUGAGCCUAGGUCGGAUUAGCUAGUUGGUGGGGUAAAGGCCUACCAAGGCGACGAUCCGUAACUGGUCUGAGAGGAUGAUCAGUCACACUGGAACUGAGACACGGUCCAGACUCCUACGGGAGGCAGCAGUGGGGAGUAUUGGACAAUGGGCGAAAGCCUGAUCCAGCCAUGCCGCGUGUGUGAAGAAGGUCUUCGGAUUGUAAAGCACUUUAAGUUGGGAGGAAGGGCAGUAAGUUAAUACCUUGCUGUUUUGACGUUACCAACAGAAUAAGCACCGGCUAACUUCGUG
rnacentral:rRNA from 1 species